rnacentral:rRNA from 1 species
UACGUAGGGUGCGAGCGUUAAUCGGAAUUACUGGGCGUAAAGCGUGCGCAGGCGGUUCGUUGUGUCCGUCGUGAAAGCCCCGGGCUUAACCCUGGGAACUGCGAUGGAAACUAGCGAGCUGGAGUGUGGCAGAGGGGGGUGGAAUUCCGCGUGUAGCAGUGAAAUGCGUAGAGAUGCGGAGGAACACCGAUGGCGAAGGCAGCCCCCUGGGCUAACACUGACGCUCAGGCACGAAAGCGUGGGGAGCAAACAGG